AUUGAACGCUGGCGGCAGGCCUAACACAUGCAAGUCGAGCGGGGUUUUCGGACCUAGCGGCGGACGGGUGAGUAAUGCGUAGGAAGCUGCCCGAUAGAGGGGGAUACCAGUUGGAAACGACUGUUAAUACCGCAUAAUGUCUACGGACCAAAGUGUGGGACCUUCGGGCCACAUGCUAUCGGAUGCGCCUACGUGGGAUUAGCUAGUUGGUGAGGUAACGGCUCACCAAGGCGACGAUCUCUAGCUGGUUUGAGAGGAUGAUCAGCCACACUGGAACUGAGACACGGUCCAGACUCCUACGGGAGGCAGCAGUGGGGAAUAUUGGACAAUGGGCGCAAGCCUGAUCCAGCCAUGCCGCGUGUGUGAAGAAGGCCUUCGGGUUGUAAAGCACUUUCAGCGAGGAGGAAGGGUGGUGUGUUAAUAGCACAUCAUUUUGACGUUACUCGCAGAAGAAGCACCGGCUAACUCUGUGCCAGCAGCCGCUGUAA
rnacentral:rRNA from 1 species